rnacentral:lncRNA from 1 species
CUAAGCCAAGCUUGAGCCACAAUUGGCACUUGUGAGGCACAGGAAGUGAGGUAGGGAACAUCCUCUGGAAUUCACUCACUUCCUGUGGAGAGAGCUAGGUGGGAGUUCAUGCUAGGAGCUUGAGGAGGGAGGAGGCCCACAGACAGCUUCCCUUCAAAUUGGUCAAUCUCCAUGCUCCUUCUCAGGUCACCACCCACAAGUAAAUUGUGUAGGAACUGAAGGUGGCUCCUAUACUUGGCACGCAACAUGGUUAAAAAUCACCUGAAGAGAUAGUGUUGGAGUUCAAGAUUGGAGACGGAUCAGCAGACCUAGACUUGGCCAGUCAGAAACAGAUGUUGUGAGUUUUCCUGGCUGAAGAGAUCGAAGACAGAGCAGGACAGGUAACCAGUGAAGCUUUCCCCACUGAGCGCCAAGAGCUUAAAGCCACGACCAUCCCAGCAAUGAGUCAUUUUAUCAGAUGGGCCCAAAGAGCUAGAGUCAGUGAAGGAAUGAAUGAGGAUAUGAUGUGGCUGCUUGAAAAUUUCAAGAGAUUUCUCCUGGGCUUUGGACCCAGAUAUGGACAAAAAAGAGAAGAAUGAAGCACCUUGCACAGUGUCAUCAUAGAGGUAUUCAACAAAUGUUUAAAGAGCUGAAUCAUCUUUCCUGGCGUUUAAGAGCCUUGUAUGAAAUCUGGCCCAAAAGAAGAGAACACACAGAACUGGGGUAUCAUGGAUAUGGGACUUGGCAGAUUCUGUCAGACCCUACUUAUGUACCAGUUAGUUUUAUUAAGCUGCUAUUUUUUCUUUUUUUUUUCUUUUUUUUAUUAUUCUUCAUAUCAAUAGAAAGUUCAUUGGGUAAGGAAAGGGGAAAGGAUAUAAUUAGAAAUAAAUAUAACGAGUAACAAAAGAACUCAAUUUUUAAGAAAAUAAGUGAAUAAACUGAAAAUGAAUAAUUAAAUGGGAAUGGAA